rnacentral:rRNA from 1 species
UGAGGAAUAUUGGUCAAUGGGCGGGAGCCUGAACCAGCCAAGCCGCGUGAGGGAAGAAGGCCCUAUGGGUCGUAAACCUCUUUUGUCAGGGAACAAAAGCGAGUAUGUAUACUAGUCUGAGUGUACCUGAAGAAAAAGCAUCGGCUAACUCCGUGCCAGCAGCCGCGGUAAUACGGAGGAUGCGAGCGUUAUCCGGAUUUAUUGGGUUUAAAGGGUGCGUAGGCGGCGAUGCAAGUCAGCGGUAAAAGCCCGGGGCUCAACCCCGGCGAGCCGUUGCAAACUGCAGUGCUAGAGAAGGCGAGAGGUACGCGGAAUGCGCAGUGUAGCGGUGAAAUGCUUAGAUAUUGCGCAGAACUCCGAUUGCGAAGGCAGCGUACUGGCGCCUGACUGACGCUGAGGCACAGAAGCGUGGGGGAUCGAACAGGAUUAGAUACC